UUAAGCGACUAAGCGUACACGGUGGAUGCCCUGGCAGUCAGAGGCGAUGAAGGACGUGCUAAUCUGCGAAAAGCGUCGGUAAGGUGAUAUGAACCGUUAUAACCGGCGAUGUCCGAAUGGGGAAACCCAGUGCAAUUCGUUGCACUAUCGUUAACUGAAUACAUAGGUUAACGAGGCGAACCGGGGGAACUGAAACAUCUAAGUACCCCGAGGAAAAGAAAUCAACCGAGAUUCCCCCAGUAGCGGCGAGCGAACGGGGAGCAGCCCAGAGUCUGAAUCAGCUUGUGUGUUAGUGGAACGGUCUGGAAAGUCCGACGGUACAGGGUGAUAGUCCCGUACACCAAAAUGCACAGGUUGUGAACUCGAAGAGUAGGGCGGGACACGUGGUAUCCUGUCUGAAUAUGGGGGGACCAUCCUCCAAGGCUAAAUACUCCUGACUGACCGAUAGUGAACCAGUACCGUGAGGGAAAGGCGAAAAGAACCCCGGCGAGGGGAGUGAAAAAGAACCUGAAACCGUGUACGUACAAGCAGUGGGAGCACCUUCGGGUGUGACUGCGUACCUUUUGUAUAAUGGGUCAGCGACUUAUAUUCUGUAGCAAGGUUAACCGUAUAGGGGAGCCGCAGGGAAACCGAGUCUUAACUGGGCGUUAAGUUGCAGGGUAUAGACCCGAAACCCGGUGAUCUAGCCAUGGGCAGGUUGAAGGUUGGGUAACACUAACUGGAGGACCGAACCGACUAAUGUUGAAAAAUUAGCGGAUGACUUGUGGCUGGGGGUGAAAGGCCAAUCAAACCGGGAGAUAGCUGGUUCUCCCCGAAAGCUAUUUAGGUAGCGCCUCGUGAACUCAUCUUCGGGGGUAGAGCACUGUUUCGGCUAGGGGGUCAUCCCGACUUACCAACCCGAUGCAAACUACGAAUACCGAAGAAUGUUAUCACGGGAGACACACGGCGGGUGCUAACGUCCGUCGUGAAGAGGGAAACAACCCAGACCGCCAGCUAAGGUCCCAAAGUCAUGGUUAAGUGGGAAACGAUGUGGGAAGGCACAGACAGCCAGGAUGUUGGCUUAGAAGCAGCCAUCAUUUAAAGAAAGCGUAAUAGCUCACUGGUCGAGUCGGCCUGCGCGGAAGAUGUAACGGGGCUAAACCAUGCACCGAAGCUGCGGCAGCGACACNNNNNNNNNNNNNNNNNNNNNNNNNNNNNNNNNNNNCCUGUGAGGGUUGCUGGAGGUAUCAGAAGUGCGAAUGCUGACAUAAGUAACGAUAAAGCGGGUGAAAAGCCCGCUCGCCGGAAGACCAAGGGUUCCUGUCCAACGUUAAUCGGGGCAGGGUGAGUCGACCCCUAAGGCGAGGCCGAAAGGCGUAGUCGAUGGGAAACAGGUUAAUAUUCCUGUACUUGGUGUUACUGCGAAGGGGGGACGGAGAAGGCUAUGUUAGCCGGGCGACGGUUGUCCCGGUUUAAGCAUGUAGGCUGGUUAUCCAGGCAAAUCCGGAUAAUCAAGGCUGAGGUGUGAUGACGAGGCACUACGGUGCUGAAGUAACAAAUGCCCUGCUUCCAGGAAAAGCCUCUAAGCAUCAGGUAACAUCAAAUCGUACCCCAAACCGACACAGGUGGUCAGGUAGAGAAUACCAAGGCGCUUGAGAGAACUCGGGUGAAGGAACUAGGCAAAAUGGUGCCGUAACUUCGGGAGAAGGCACGCUGGUGUGUAGGUGAAGUCCCUGCGGAUGGAGCUGAGACCAGUCGAAGAUACCAGCUGGCUGCAACUGUUUAUUAAAAACACAGCACUGUGCAAACACGAAAGUGGACGUAUACGGUGUGACGCCUGCCCGGUGCCGGAAGGUUAAUUGAUGGGGUUAUCCGUAAGGAGAAGCUCUUGAUCGAAGCCCCGGUAAACGGCGGCCGUAACUAUAACGGUCCUAAGGUAGCGAAAUUCCUUGUCGGGUAAGUUCCGACCUGCACGAAUGGCGUAAUGAUGGCCAGGCUGUCUCCACCCGAGACUCAGUGAAAUUGAACUCGCUGUGAAGAUGCAGUGUACCCGCGGCAAGACGGAAAGACCCCGUGAACCUUUACUAUAGCUUGACACUGAACAUUGAGCCUUGAUGUGUAGGAUAGGUGGGAGGCUUUGAAGCGUGGACGCCAGUCUGCGUGGAGCCAACCUUGAAAUACCACCCUUUAAUGUUUGAUGUUCUAACGUGGGCCCCUGACCGGGGUUGCGGACAGUGUCUGGUGGGUAGUUUGACUGGGGCGGUCUCCUCCCAAAGCGUAACGGAGGAGCACGAAGGUUAGCUAAUCCUGGUCGGACAUCAGGAGGUUAGUGCAAUGGCAUAAGCUAGCUUGACUGCGAGCGUGACGGCGCGAGCAGGUGCGAAAGCAGGUCAUAGUGAUCCGGUGGUUCUGAAUGGAAGGGCCAUCGCUCAACGGAUAAAAGGUACUCCGGGGAUAACAGGCUGAUACCGCCCAAGAGUUCAUAUCGACGGCGGUGUUUGGCACCUCGAUGUCGGCUCAUCACAUCCUGGGGCUGAAGUAGGUCCCAAGGGUAUGGCUGUUCGCCAUUUAAAGUGGUACGCGAGCUGGGUUUAGAACGUCGUGAGACAGUUCGGUCCCUAUCUGCCGUGGGCGCUGGAGAAUUGAGGGGGGCUGCUCCUAGUACGAGAGGACCGGAGUGGACGCAUCACUGGUGUUCGGGUUGUCAUGCCAAUGGCACUGCCCGGUAGCUAAAUGCGGAAGAGAUAAGUGCUGAAAGCAUCUAAGCACGAAACUUGCCCCGAGAUGAGUUCUCCCUGAGACUUUAAGUCUCCUGAAGGAACGUUGAAGACGACGACGUUGAUAGGCCGGGUGUGUAAGCGCAGCGAUGCGUUGAGCUAACCGGUACUAAUGAACCGUGAGGCUUAACCUU
rnacentral:rRNA from 2 species